GGAGUUGGCCAGGCCAUCGCUGCAAUUUUAUUGCAGAGGAAAGUCCGGGCUCCAUAGGACAAGGUGCCAGGUAACUCCUGGGGGGCGUGAGCCUACGGAAAGUGCAGCAGAGAGCAAACCGCCUAAGCGCAUAGCGCCGGCAAGGGUGAAAGGGUGCGGUAAGAGCGCACCGCGUCGGUGGCAACAUUCGACGGCAAGGUAAACCCCACCUGGAGCAAGACCAAAUAGGGAAACAUGGGUGUGGUCCGCAUCGUUUCCGGGUAGGUCGCUAGAGUGAUGCGGUGACGCAUCAUCCAGAUGAAUGAUGGUCCUCGACAGAACCCGGCUUAUGGCCAACUCCUACC
rnacentral:RNase_P_RNA from 1 species